GGAGAGGUCGCGUAGUCCGGUUUAGCGCGCGUGCCUGGAGAGCACGUGUAGGAGCAAUUCUACCCAGGGUUCGAAUCCCUGCCUCUCCGCCA
rnacentral:tRNA from 1 species